AAGGAUUUAAGUUAAUAAAACUAUUAACCUUCAAAGUUAAAAUUAGAGAUUUCUAAGCCUUA
rnacentral:tRNA from 1 species